AGCGAACGCUGGCGGCAGGCUUAACACAUGCAAGUCGAGCGGGCCCUUCGGGGUCAGCGGCGGACGGGUGAGUAACGCGUGGGAACGUGCCUUCUGGUUCGGAAUAACCCUGGGAAACUAGGGCUAAUACCGGAUACGCCCUUUUGGGGAAAGGUUUACUGCCGGAAGAUCGGCCCGCGUCUGAUUAGCUAGUUGGUGGGGUAACGGCCUACCAAGGCGACGAUCAGUAGCUGGUCUGAGAGGAUGAUCAGCCACACUGGGACUGAGACACGGCCCAGACUCCUACGGGAGGCAGCAGUGGGGAAUAUUGGACAAUGGGCGCAAGCCUGAUCCAGCCAUGCCGCGUGAGUGAUGAAGGCCUUAGGGUUGUAAAGCUCUUUUAUCCGGGACGAUAAUGACGGUACCGGAGGAAUAAGCCCCGGCUAACUUCGUGCCAGCCGCCGCGGUAA
rnacentral:rRNA from 1 species